rnacentral:rRNA from 1 species
GGUUAAGCGACUAAGCGUACACGGUGGAUGCCCUGGCAGUCAGAGGCGAUGAAGGACGUGCUAAUCUGCGAAAAGCGUCGGUAAGGUGAUAUGAACCGUUAUAACCGGCGAUGUCCGAAUGGGGAAACCCAGUGUGAUUCGUCACACUAUCGUUAACUGAAUACAUAGGUUAACGAGGCGAACCGGGGGAACUGAAACAUCUAAGUACCCCGAGGAAAAGAAAUCAACCGAGAUUCCCCCAGUAGCGGCGAGCGAACGGGGAGCAGCCCAGAGUCUGAAUCAGCUUGUGUGUUAGUGGAACGGUCUGGAAAGUCCGACGGUACAGGGUGAUAGUCCCGUACACCAAAAUGCACAGGUUGUGAACUCGAAGAGUAGGGCGGGACACGUGGUAUCCUGUCUGAAUAUGGGGGGACCAUCCUCCAAGGCUAAAUACUCCUGACUGACCGAUAGUGAACCAGUACCGUGAGGGAAAGGCGAAAAGAACCCCGGCGAGGGGAGUGAAAAAGAACCUGAAACCGUGUACGUACAAGCAGUGGGAGCACCUUCGGGUGUGACUGCGUACCUUUUGUAUAAUGGGUCAGCGACUUAUAUUCUGUAGCAAGGUUAACCGUAUAGGGGAGCCGCAGGGAAACCGAGUCUUAACUGGGCGUUAAGUUGCAGGGUAUAGACCCGAAACCCGGUGAUCUAGCCAUGGGCAGGUUGAAGGUUGGGUAACACUAACUGGAGGACCGAACCGACUAAUGUUGAAAAAUUAGCGGAUGACUUGUGGCUGGGGGUGAAAGGCCAAUCAAACCGGGAGAUAGCUGGUUCUCCCCGAAAGCUAUUUAGGUAGCGCCUCGUGAACUCAUCUUCGGGGGUAGAGCACUGUUUCGGCUAGGGGGUCAUCCCGACUUACCAACCCGAUGCAAACUACGAAUACCGAAGAAUGUUAUCACGGGAGACACACGGCGGGUGCUAACGUCCGUCGUGAAGAGGGAAACAACCCAGACCGCCAGCUAAGGUCCCAAAGUCAUGGUUAAGUGGGAAACGAUGUGGGAAGGCACAGACAGCCAGGAUGUUGGCUUAGAAGCAGCCAUCAUUUAAAGAAAGCGUAAUAGCUCACUGGUCGAGUCGGCCUGCGCGGAAGAUGUAACGGGGCUAAACCAUGCACCGAAGCUGCGGCAGCGACACUAUGUGUUGUUGGGUAGGGGAGCGUUCUGUAAGCCUGCGAAGGUGACCUGUGAGGGUUGCUGGAGGUAUCAGAAGUGCGAAUGCUGACAUAAGUAACGAUAAAGCGGGUGAAAAGCCCGCUCGCCGGAAGACCAAGGGUUCCUGUCCAACGUUAAUCGGGGCAGGGUGAGUCGACCCCUAAGGCGAGGCCGAAAGGCGUAGUCGAUGGGAAACAGGUUAAUAUUCCUGUACUUGGUGUUACUGCGAAGGGGGGACGGAGAAGGCUAUGUUAGCCGGGCGACGGUUGUCCCGGUUUAAGCAUGUAGGCUGGUUGUCCAGGCAAAUCCGGAUAAUCAAGGCUGAGGUGUGAUGACGAGGCACUACGGUGCUGAAGUAACAAAUGCCCUGCUUCCAGGAAAAGCCUCUAAGCAUCAGGUAACAUCAAAUCGUACCCCAAACCGACACAGGUGGUCAGGUAGAGAAUACCAAGGCGCUUGAGAGAACUCGGGUGAAGGAACUAGGCAAAAUGGUGCCGUAACUUCGGGAGAAGGCACGCUGGUGUGUAGGUGAAGCCCCUGCGGGUGGAGCUGAGACCAGUCGAAGAUACCAGCUGGCUGCAACUGUUUAUUAAAAACACAGCACUGUGCAAACACGAAAGUGGACGUAUACGGUGUGACGCCUGCCCGGUGCCGGAAGGUUAAUUGAUGGGGUUAUCCGUAAGGAGAAGCUCUUGAUCGAAGCCCCGGUAAACGGCGGCCGUAACUAUAACGGUCCUAAGGUAGCGAAAUUCCUUGUCGGGUAAGUUCCGACCUGCACGAAUGGCGUAAUGAUGGCCAGGCUGUCUCCACCCGAGACUCAGUGAAAUUGAACUCGCUGUGAAGAUGCAGUGUACCCGCGGCAAGACGGAAAGACCCCGUGAACCUUUACUAUAGCUUGACACUGAACAUUGAGCCUUGAUGUGUAGGAUAGGUGGGAGGCUUUGAAGCGUGGACGCCAGUCUGCGUGGAGCCAACCUUGAAAUACCACCCUUUAAUGUUUGAUGUUCUAACGUUGGCCCCUGACCGGGGUUGCGGACAGUGUCUGGUGGGUAGUUUGACUGGGGCGGUCUCCUCCCAAAGCGUAACGGAGGAGCACGAAGGUUAGCUAAUCCUGGUCGGACAUCAGGAGGUUAGUGCAAUGGCAUAAGCUAGCUUGACUGCGAGCGUGACGGCGCGAGCAGGUGCGAAAGCAGGUCAUAGUGAUCCGGUGGUUCUGAAUGGAAGGGCCAUCGCUCAACGGAUAAAAGGUACUCCGGGGAUAACAGGCUGAUACCGCCCAAGAGUUCAUAUCGACGGCGGUGUUUGGCACCUCGAUGUCGGCUCAUCACAUCCUGGGGCUGAAGUAGGUCCCAAGGGUAUGGCUGUUCGCCAUUUAAAGUGGUACGCGAGCUGGGUUUAGAACGUCGUGAGACAGUUCGGUCCCUAUCUGCCGUGGGCGCUGGAGAAUUGAGGGGGGCUGCUCCUAGUACGAGAGGACCGGAGUGGACGCAUCACUGGUGUUCGGGUUGUCAUGCCAAUGGCACUGCCCGGUAGCUAAAUGCGGAAGAGAUAAGUGCUGAAAGCAUCUAAGCACGAAACUUGCCCCGAGAUGAGUUCUCCCUGAGACUAUAAGUCUCCUGAAGGAACGUUAAAGACGAUGACGUUGAUAGGCCGGGUGUGUAAGCGCAGCGAUGCGUUGAGCUAACCGGUACUAAUGAACCGUGAGGCUUAACCUU